rnacentral:lncRNA from 12 species
AUGUCUGUGCACAGCUGUAGAAAACACCCAACCCAGCACAGACCUCAUCCAAAUCCAUCAAACAAUGCCCUAGAACCAGGACUGCUGUGCCAACGUUUCCCACCACUGCUAUUGAUUUGGGUUUGUGACUUUGGAAGAAUUCCGCCACCGAAGGUAGAAAAAUAGUGGCCGGGAGGAUCCUCACCUCUGGACGGCACCGGGAAAAGCUGUACCCUAGAUCUGCGUGUCUCUCUUCACCCCAGCCAGAUGGCUGAGGUCCUGCUUGGAACAGCAGACAGGAAGCCCAUUUUCAGCUCGUCCCGGGUGUGAGCUAUGCCCCAUGAACGUGCUUCUGGCACAACUCAGCCAGAGCCACACAGGGGCUCCUUGCCUCCUCAGACCCCAUCCAGUCCUCAAUCCAUAAGGCCAUAGAAAGGAUCUAUCUCAGCUCUGGGUCUUUCU